AACGCACAUUGCGCCCAUUAGUAUUCUAGUGGGCAUGCCUGUUCGAGCGUCAUUUCAACCCUUAAGCCUAGCUUAGUGUUGGGAAUUUACAGUUAUGUAAUUCCUGAAAUACAACGGCGGAUCUGUGGUAUCCUCUGAGCGUAGUAAAUUAUUUCUCGCUUUUGUCAGGUGCUGCAGCUCCCAGCCGCUAAACCCCCAAUUUUUUGUGGUUGACCUCGGAUCAGGUAGGAAUACCCGCUGAACUUAA
rnacentral:misc_RNA from 1 species